GAUGAACGCUAGCGGAAGGCUUAAUACAUGCAAGUCGAGCGGUAGAAUUGACUUCGGUUAAUUUGAGAGCGGCGCACGGGUGAGUAACGCGUACAUGACCUACCCUUAAGAAGGGAAUAGCCCUGGGAAACUGGGAUUAAUGCCCUAUAGUAUUACAGAAGUUAGAGAUUUGUAAUUAAAGCUGAGGCGCUUAAGGAUGGAUGUGCGUCUGAUUAGCUAGUUGGUAAGAUAACGGCUUACCAAGGCGACGAUCAGUAGGGGGCGUGAGAGCGUGAUCCCCCACACGGGUACUGAGACACGGACCCGACUCCUACGGGAGGCAGCAGUAAGGAAUAUUGGACAAUGCUCGCAAGAGUGAUCCAGCCAUUCCGCGUGCAGGAUGACUGCCCUAUGGGUUGUAAACUGCUUUUAGAUAGGAAGAAAGUGUGAUAUUGAUAUCAUUUUGACGGUACUAUCAGAAUAAGGACCGGCUAACUCCG
rnacentral:rRNA from 1 species